GAUGAACGCUGGCGGCGUGCCUAAUACAUGCCAGUCGAGCGAACAGAUGAGGAGCUUGCUCCUCUGACGUUGGCGGCGGACGGGUGAGUAACACGUGGAUAACCUACCUAUAAGACUGGGAUAACUUCGGGAAACCGGAGCUAAUACCGGAUAAUAUAUUGAACCGCAUGGUUCAAUAGUGAAAGACGGUUUUGCUGUCACUUAUAGAUGGAUCCGCGCCGCAUUAGCUAGUUGGUAAGGUAACGGCUUACCAAGGCAACGAUGCGUAGCCGACCUGAGAGGGUGAUCGGCCACACUGGAACUGAGACACGGUCCAGACUCCUACGGGAGGCAGCAGUAGGGAAUCUUCCGCAAUGGGCGAAAGCCUGACGGAGCAACGCCGCGUGAGUGAUGAAGGUCUUCGGAUCGUAAAACUCUGUUAUUAGGGAAGAACAAAUGUGUAAGUAACUAUGCACGUCUUGACGGUACCUAAUCAGAAAGCCACGGCUAACUACGUG
rnacentral:rRNA from 1 species